GUUUUGGUUUUGGUUGGUUUAUCUUGCAAAUCUAAGAGCUUGCAGGGUGAGAGUUUUUUAAGGACAAAUCUAGUUAGGGGUAGCCAUGGUAGAACGUUAGAAGCAGUGGCCUUUUUUGUUGAGGAUGGCAUAUGAUGGGUUAAAAAGGCUGUCGGUGGUUGCCUUGUGUUAUCCAGCGCCCAUUGGAGACCGACUCUUUUGUCCUCGCCAGGUGGCUCGGCGCGAGAAGCUCAAGCUGUUUGAUGGGCUUGUUCGUUUCUCAAGCGACUGAGGAGCGAAUGAUUUGGAUGAAAAAGCGCUCUUAUUUAUUCUUGGGUGUCUUUGUGUUGAUCUACUUGGUUUGGCCAUGGUGGGGUUUUCUGUUUAGAGCGAUCAGUGGUUGGGUUACCUGUGGAGUGCCCUUUCUGUCCUUUGAUGGUUCUCCAUAGCGAAGUUCCAACAAGGGGUUCCGGUCUCUUCCUCAACAUGGUUCUAAGUCUUCGGCUCUGGAUCCCUCUGCUCUUUUAGUGGCCAGGUUCAAUUUUGUGCUUAAUAGGUUUGAUUGUAUUAUUUGGUUUGGAUGUAACGAC
rnacentral:misc_RNA from 1 species